rnacentral:rRNA from 1 species
UACGUAGGGUGCAAGCGUUGUCCGGAAUUAUUGGGCGUAAAGGGCUCGUAGGCGGUUUGUCGCGUCGGGAGUGAAAACAUCUGGCUUAACUGGGUGCUUGCUUUCGAUACGGGCAGACUAGAGGUAUGCAGGGGAGAACGGAAUUCCUGGUGUAGCGGUGAAAUGCGCAGAUAUCAGGAGGAACACCGGUGGCGAAGGCGGUUCUCUGGGCAUGACCUGACGCUGAGGAGCGAAAGUGUGGGGAGCGAACAGG